UUUCAAGCAAUUCCCAGAAACUCCGAAACCACAAGCACAACUCCUCUCCCAGGUGGAAGGGCGGGACCGGCGAGCACACGAUCAGCAUCAGGAGCGAUUUGUCGUGCAGCCUGAUCAUCCCCCAAUUCCCCAACAGCCUUUUCUUCCCAAAACGACCGGGACCAUCCUUCUGAACUACCCACAGUCUACUCUGAGAUACAACAUCCUGCUCCCUAAGAAGGCAUCUGGAUUUUCCCUUUCUGUAUAUACAGCCAAUGUUUUCUGCAGAGGAUUAUUUGAUGCAAAAUUUGACCUUGCUGUUUCAGCCAGUUAUUAUGGAAAGCACAACUCUUCCAACAUGGCAAUCAUUGAUGUGAAGAUGCUUUCAGGAUUUGUACCCGACAGACCGUCAGUUAAGAAGCUUGAGGAAGAUGGCAAAGUACAGCGAGUAGAAAUCAAAACCACCGGCCGGGCGCAGUGGCUCAGGCUUGUAAUCCCAGCACUUUGGG